GCCUGGCUGGCGCAAUGGUAGCGCGUCAGACUUCUAAUCUGAAGGUUGCGGGUUCGACCCCCGCGUUGGGUU